rnacentral:lncRNA from 10 species
GGCAGAGUAGGGGGCAGCGGGAAAGCAGAGGAGCUGGGAAUUGCGGGCCGCAGCUCCGGCUAAGAAUCGGGAGAAAUUCCCAGAAACAGAGUGACAGCUGUAAUUGGACAGCUGGCACCUCCAUGUUGAGGUAGUCCACCAUUUUAUUUUUUAUCCACCUUGGAAUAGACAUCUUUCCACUCUCACACAUCCUCUAUACACAUUUAAGGAAAUUAUAAUUUUCCUUGAGUCUGCAUUACAAACAUGCAUUACAGCUCUUUAAAUUAAGCGAUAGUGGGCCGGGCGCGGUGGCUCACGCCUGUAAUCCCAACACUUUGGGAGGCUGAGGCGGGCAAAUCACCUGAGGUCAGGAGUUCCCGACCAGCGUGGCCAACACGGUGAAACCCUCUCUCUACUAAAAUAC